CUACGGGCCGCUGCAGUAGGGAAUCUUAGACAAUGGGGGAAACCCUGAUCUAGCCAUGCCGCGUGAGUGAUGAAGGCCUUAGGGUUGUAAAGCUCUUUCGCUGGGGAAGAUAAUGACGGUACCCAGUAAAGAAACCCCGGCUAACUCCGUGCCAGCAGCCGCGGUAAUACGGAGGGGGGUAGCGGUGUUCGGAAUUACUGGGCGUAAAGCGCGCGUAGGCGGGCUAUUAAGUCAGGGGUGAAAUCCCGGGGCUCAACCCCGGAACUGCCUUUGAUACUGGUAGUCUUGAGUUCGAGAGAGGUGAGUGGAAUUCCGAGUGUAGAGGUGAAAUUCGUAGAUAUUCGGAGGAACAUCAGUGGCGAAGGCGACUCACUGGCUCGAUACUGACGCUGAGGUGCGAAAGUGUGGGGAGCAAACAGGAUUAGAUACCCUCGUAGUC
rnacentral:rRNA from 1 species